UACGGAGGGUGCAAGCGUUAUCCGGAUUCACUGGGUUUAAAGGGUGCGUAGGUGGGUUGGUAAGUCAGUGGUGAAAUCUCCGAGCUUAACUUGGAAACUGCCAUUGAUACUAUCAGUCUUGAAUAUUGUGGAGGUCAGCGGAAUAUGUCAUGUAGCGGUGAAAUGCUUAGAUAUGACAUAGAACACCAAUUGCGAAGGCAGCUCACUACCCAGAUAUUGACACUGAGGCGCGAAAGCGUGGGGAGCGAACAGG
rnacentral:rRNA from 1 species